rnacentral:rRNA from 1 species
AUUGAACGCUGGCGGCAGGCUUAAUACAUGCAAGUCGAGGGGCAGCAUGAUUGUAGCAAUACAAUUGAUGGCGACCGGCAAACGGGUGCGGAACACGUACACAACCUUCCAAUAAGUGGGGAAUAGCCCAGAGAAAUUUGGAUUAAUACCCCGUAACAUAACGAUGUGGCAUCACAUUGUUAUCAUAGCUUCGGCGCUUGUUGAUGGGUGUGCGGCUGAUUAGAUAGUUGGCGGGGUAACGGCCCACCAAGUCUACGAUCAGUAGCUGAUGUGAGAGCAUGAUCAGCCACACGGGCACUGAGACACGGGCCCGACUCCUACGGGAGGCAGCAGUAAGGAAUAUUGGACAAUGGACGCAAGUCUGAUCCAGCCAUACCGCGUGAAGGAUUAAGGUCCUCUGGAUUGUAAACUUCUUUUGUAAGGGACGAAAAAAGGUCUUUCUAGAUCGUCUGACGGUACCUUAUGAAUAAGCACCGGCUAACUCCGUGCCAGCAGCCGCAGUAACAC